CCCCAGACUCCUACGGGAGGCAGCAGUGGGGAAUAUUGCACAAUGGGGGAAACCCUGAUGCAGCGACGCCGCGUGAGUGAAGAAGUAUUUCGGUAUGUAAAGCUCUAUCAGCAGGGAAGAAAAUGACGGUACCUGACUAAGAAGCCCCGGCUAACUACGUGCCAGCAGCCGCGGUAAUACGUAGGGGGCAAGCGUUAUCCGGAUUUACUGGGUGUAAAGGGAGCGUAGACGGCAUGGCAAGUCAGAUGUGAAAGCCCGGGGCUCAACCCCGGGACUGCAUUUGAAACUGUCAGGCUGGAGUGCAGGAGAGGUAAGUGGAAUUCCUAGUGUAGCGGUGAAAUGCGUAGAUAUUAGGAGGAACACCAGUGGCGAAGGCGGCUUACUGGACUGUAACUGACGUUGAGGCUCGAAAGCGUGGGGAGCAAACAGGAUUAGAUACCCCAGUAC
rnacentral:rRNA from 1 species